GCCAGGAGUGGUGGUGCAUGCCUGUGAUCCCAGGGACUCAGGAGGCUGAGGCAGGAGGAUCCCAUCAACUUAACAAGGGCCAUCCUCAGCAACUUAACAAGGGCCCCAGCAACUUAGUGCUUAGUGAGACCCUGUCUCUA
rnacentral:sRNA from 1 species